rnacentral:rRNA from 1 species
CCUACGGGAGGCUGCAGUGGGGAAUAUUGGUCAAUGGGCGCAAGCCUGACCCAGCAACGCCGCGUGAAGGAAGAAGGCUCUCUGGUUGUUAACCUCUUUUCUCAGGGACGAAGACAGUGACGGUUCCUGCGGAAUAAGCCUCGGCUAACUACGUGCCAGCAGCCGCGGUAAUACGUCGGUGGCAAGCGUUAUCCGGAUUUACUGGGUGUAAAGGGCGUGUAGGCGGGGAAGUAAGUCAGAUGUGAAAACCACGGGCUCAACCUGUGGCCUGCAUUUGGAACUGUUUGUCUUGAGUACUGGAGAGGCAGACGGAAUUCGUGGUGUAGCGGUGAAAUGCGUAGAUAUUAGGAGGAACACCAGUGGCGAAGGCGGUCUGCUGGAGAGCAACUGACGCUGAGGCGCGAAGGCGUGGGGAGCGAACAGGAUUAGAUACCCGUGUAGUC